UGAGAUCUGUAGCGGUACCAUGCGGCGUAGUGAGCUGGCAUAAUAGCAUCAAAUUUGAAAUCUGGUACCUUCGGUGCCCGCCAGUUGUAAUUUGGAGAGGGCAACUUUGGGGCCGUUCCUUGUCUAUGUUCCUUGGAACAGGACGUCAUAGAGGGUGAGAAUCCCGUGUGGCGAGGAGUGCGGUUCUUUGUAAAGUGCCUUCGAAGAGUCGAGUUGUUUGGGAAUGCAGCUCUAAGUGGGUGGUAAAUUCCAUCUAAAGCUAAAUAUUGGCGAGAGACCGAUAGCGAACAAGUACAGUGAUGGAAAGAUGAAAAGAACUUUGAAAAGAGAGUGAAAAAGUACGUGAAAUUGUUGAAAGGGAAGGGCAUUUGAUCAGACAUGGUGUUUUGUGCCCUCUGCUCCUUGUGGGUAGGGGAAUCUCGCAUUUCACUGGGCCAGCAUCAGUUUUGGUGGCAGGAUAAAUCCAUAGGAAUGUAGCUUGCCUCGGUAAGUAUUAUAGCCUGUGGGAAUACUGCCAGCUGGGACUGAGGACUGCGACGUAAGUCAAGGAUGCUGGCAUAAUGGUUAUAUGCCGCCCGUCUUGAACCACGGACCCA
rnacentral:rRNA from 1 species